rnacentral:tRNA from 1 species
AGUAAAGUCAGCUAAUAAAGCUAUCGGGCCCAUACCCCGACAAUGUUGGUUUAAAUCCCCCCUUUACUA